GCUGGGCACAGUGGUGCACGCCUGUCAUCCCAGUGGCUUGGGAGGCUGAGGCAGGAGGAUCGCAAGUUGGAGGCCAGCCUCAGCCAAAGAGAGGUACUAAGCAACUCAGUGAGACCCUGUCUCUG
rnacentral:sRNA from 1 species